UUGCAGUUGGUCUUCUUUUUAGAAGAAGAUUAAUUAUCAACUAAAAGGUCAUUUUCCAUGAAGAAAAAUUGUUGGACAGUUAUCUGUCUUUUUGCUUUAUCCAAAUCCCUCUGAGACACACAGAGACACACAUACACAGACACACAGACGCACACACAGAGAUGUUGGUGCAACACUGUCAGAUGUCUGGGAUUUGAACCAGCAACCCACCACUCUAGGCUACAUGCCACACCUUUGCGGGUUGGUUUUAUGGAUAAUUUUGUGAAGUAAUCUUGCAGUCUGACUUUCUAUUUAGUGUUGAGAAGGGCUUCUGUGAUGGUGUUGUCCUGGCAAAAGACAAACGAUAUGUCAUCUUUCGUCAAACAUGUCCAGUACAAAGACCAAUCAUACGUGCGUGGCACGUCAGAGGGGACAGCGGCCAAGGAGACGUCUGGAAAAUGAUCUGCCAAAGUAGAUGAGGAAGGCUACAGUGCUGAUACGGCGUCCACAUGUACAGAGGAGAGAUAUAUGACUAUGCAAUGGACUCCUCAAGGCCCUCAACAUGUACAGAGGAGAGAUAUAUGCCUAUGCAAUGCACUUGCAGAAGGAGCUGUCUUCUGCUGGCACGAUGUUGCAUGUAAACACUGUCCAUAUUGUCAGAAAGUUGUGCAGGCGUGCUCAGAGUUGGAGGAGUUUCUUAAAAAUGCACCCUCUCCUGUCUGUUAUGCUUUCGAAGGCACAUGAAUGGUCUUGUGAGGCAUUAUAGUUCAAAUGGGGAGGCCGCAAUCAGCCUGGUGCCGGCAACAUAACCGGAGAGGAAGUCGAGCAGGUGAAUAAUUUUAUAUCCAGAGCUGCUGUCACAACAAAGCACAUGUCCAAGGCUGCACAGACAGACAUCAUCACACUACUGGAAAUGGGCUGGAAUAAGAGGAAGAUCACCAACAUGGAUCGCAUGUUGGCAAAGAGAUAUGUGAAGAAUGUCAAAAGACUGAAGGGGGAGACCAGCCUCCUUGAAGAAUAGCGGGCAGAGCUGGACAUCAACGACUCUGUGCUUCAGGAGUGGGUUUCUGAGGUCCAGCAGUGGCCUGAAGGAUAGUCAAACAGGGUAGACGGGGCAUCUCCAGAAGAAGACUGAGGGGCUUUAUCUCAGUGUGAAACAGAGGAAACCUCUACCAUUAGACAGACGGCAACAAAGGAGACAUCAGAUUCAGAGAAAAAUUGUUGAGGACAAAGCAGCCUUGACAGCUGCCAUUGUUCCACUUCACCAACAGCAGGCAGAGUUUAGGCUCCCCACAGUGGACGAGCUGCUCAAUACUGACAACUUUGUGUGGCCAUGGGAGAGACUUGGCACCAGCAAUCUUGGACAGACUGAUGUUGGUGAACAGACUACAGGAGGAAGAGUGGAUCCUGGUGAAGGAGAUGAAGAGGCACUGGGGGGAGCCUACAAAGAGCAGCGGGAACACAGGAGGUACUGUCCCUACAGCUGCAAGACCAGAGCAAUGCAGUGGAGUUGUCAGAGGGAGAAAGGAAUGGCCUUCUCUGCCACCCGAAGAGAAGAUUGAGUGAACUGACAACACAAGACCAAGUCAACACCAGGAACGCCUACCACAAGCUGAUUCUGGGAGGAGGGGAUAUUUUUUGAUGACUCUGAUGAAGACAAGAACUCAGAUGAAGAUAGAAGUCCUAUUGCUGAGAGAUCAGAUGACUCCUGCUAUGCUUUCUGAAAUCAUACAACACCCCUGCCUCUUUCUCUUGGUCUCCCGCAGGAGAGGGAGAAGGCCGCCACCACCUCCCUUGGGAGCAUCCUGGUCUCCUGACGUUGACCCCUGACCCCCUCACCUUCUGAACCCAUCCAAGGAAAUUCCUAGGCUAUGGCGAAGUCAUCAGCAACUCAGACGGUUGCUUGAAGACAUCUUUACAGAGGAAUGUGUUUUGUUCUUCAUGACUGUUUUUUGUUGUAUUUUCUUCAAGUAUUGUCUAUGAUGUCAUGAUUGGGAUUUUCUUUUGUUUGUUGUAAUUGUGAGUUGCGAAAGAGUCCUUGGUCUCAAUGGGACUGCUUAAAUAA